rnacentral:rRNA from 1 species
GGUUUGUUGAGAAAAAUAAUAAAUCUUACCUGCUCAAUGUAUAAAAUAAAUAGCCGCGGUAAUUUGACUGUGCAAAGGUAGCAUAAUCAUUAGUCUUUUAAUUGGGGGCUGGAAUGAAGGGUUUGACGGAGGGCAGCUUUUUAAAAAUUAUGUUGGUGAAUUUUAGUUUAUUGUGAAGAUGCACUAUAAUGAGGUUAUUUGACGAGAAGACCCUAUAAAGCUUUACAAAGGGAGGUUGGUGCUUUAUUUUGUUUUGUUGGGGCAACAUUUGUUAUAGAAAAAUAGUAUUGAGAGUGAAUAAUGUGUAUAGUCGUGAAGGGGAUCCAUAAUUUUUGAAAAGGAGAAAAGUUACUUUAGGGAUAACAGCGUAAUUAUUUUGGAGAGCUCAUAUUGGUAAAAUAGUUUGCGACCUCGAUGUUGAAUUAAGAAGUCCUUAUUUUCGCAGUAGAAAAAGAAGGGGGUCUGUUCGACCUUUAAAUUCUUACA